GGAUUAGAUACCCUGGUAGUCCACGCCCUAAACGAUGUCAACUGGUUGUUGGACGGCUUGCUGUUCAGUAACGAAGCUAACGCGUGAAGUUGACCGCCUGGGGAGUACGGCCGCAAGGUUGAAACUCAAAGGAAUUGACGGGGACCCGCACAAGCGGUGGAUGAUGUGGUUUAAUUCGAUGCAACGCGAAAAACCUUACCUACCCUUGACAUGCCAGGAACUUACCAGAGAUGGUUUGGUGCUCGAAAGAGAGCCUGGACACAGGUGCUGCAUGGCCGUCGUCAGCUCGUGUCGUGAGAUGUUGGGUUAAGUCCCGCAACGAGCGCAACCCUUAUCAUUAGUUGCUACGCAGGGGCACUCUAAUGAGACUGCCGGUGACAAACCGGAGGAAGGUGGGGAUGACGUCAGGUCAUCAUGGCCCUUAUGGGUAGGGCUACACACGUCAUACAAUGGCCGGUACAGAGGGCUGCCAACCCGCGAGGGGGAGCUAAUCUCAGAAAACCGGUCGUAGUCCGGAUCGCAGUCUGCAACUCGACUGCGUGAAGUCGGAAUCGCUAGUAAUCGCGGAUCAGCUUGCCGCGGUGAAUACGUUCCCGGGUCUUGUACACACCGCCCGUCACACCAUGGGAGCGGGUUCUGCCAGAAGUAGUUAGCCUAACCGCAAGGGGGGCGAUUACCACGGCAGGGUUCGUGACUGGGGGUGAAGUCGUUAACAAGGUAACC
rnacentral:rRNA from 1 species